CAGCACCUCAAGUGGUCAGGAUGAUUAUUGGGCCUAAAGCAUCCGUAGCCUGCUUUGUUAGUUUUCGGUUAAAUCCAUACGCUCAACGUAUGGGCUGCCGGGAAUACUGCAAAGCUAGGGAGUGGGAGAGGUAGACGGUACUUGGUAGGAAGGGGUAAAAUCCUUUGAUCUAUUGAUGACCACCUGUGGCGAAGGCGGUCUACCAGAACACGUCCGACGGUGAGGGAUGAAAGCUAGGGGAGCAAACCGGAUUAGAUACCCGAGUAGUCC
rnacentral:rRNA from 1 species